UGGCCAAUAUUCCUUCUGCACCUUUAUUUUAAAGCAUUUUUACACCUGUCAUAUCUUGCUAGAUGAUUGAGAAGGAAUGAGUCUUCCCAUUUUAUAGGUGAGAAAACUGAGGUUCAAAAUGGUAUCACCUAUCAUCAGGAGGACAAUAGUCCCCAUCAGAGGCUCACAUGCCCAUGGAGUCAAGUGGACAUGGGUUUUUUUUAAUUUUUAUUUUUUAAUGUUUAUUUAUUUUUGAGACAGAGACAGAGCGUGAGCAAGGGAGGGGCAGAGACAGAGGGAGACACAGAAUCCAAAGCAGGCUCCAGGCUCCGAGCUGUCAGCACAGAGCCCGAUGCGGGGCUCAAACCCAAGAACCGUGAGAUCCUGACCUGAGCUGAAGUCGGACCCUUAACUGAUUGAGCCACCCAGGCGCCCCAAGUGGACGUGUUUUUAACUGACUGGCAAGCAGAAGAGUGGCAUCCGGAGCAAGAACCAUCGGUAUACCAGACAGAGCUGGGUUCCCAACUGAGAUCCCGUGGCUGCAAAACUACUACAUUCUAGAAAAGAUAAAAAGUACCAUAAUUCAGAAAGAGUAGGUCUGCUUUAAGAGCUAACCUUUUAGUCCAGGCAGAAGAGAGAGGUUAAGAACUCCCUGAAGGCAGAAACUUAUUUUGCCUUUGCGUACCUGGUGCCUAGCACAGUUCUGGUACUUAAUAAAAUGUUUGUUGACUUGAGUAUGGAGCUUGGCAGGAAGGAGGCAGAAGAGAAAACUUGCGUGAGUUUAGAAUCAAGAAUCUGAGGGGGAGACAGCCUAGGAGGUGUGGGUCCAAGAGAGAAACUCCAGACAUUUGUGGCCCUGGUUCCUUUACUCCAAAUCGUGAGGACAUCCUCCAGAGGCACAGGGUGCUGUGGCUUUAAAUGACUUCCGUGUGUCAGUGAAUCUGCUCUGCUAAAAGAGUUAUCCUCUUGCUCCUGCGCUUGGCCUCCCCCUCCUCGCAGCUCCCCAAACCCUUCUCGGCCGCUGUGAUGGGAUAAUUAGAUGCGAGAGCUCAGCACAGAUGAUGCUCCAGUUGCUUAGCAACUAAUGGUUUCCAUGGAGACCGCAAAGCACAGCCUCCAGAGCAGCCAGUGAGCAGCUCGGCAGGGCAGGGAGAAGACGCAACUCUCAGUUCCUCCAGAAACCUGGGGAGGGCCGGGUGGGGAAGGGGGGCUGGAGGGAGAAGGGAGGGCUUAAAGGCACAGGGCCCUCUUAUCCCUUUAAAAUCCGGCCAGGGCUCUGCCCUGCCCUACUCCACUCUGCCCCACUCAUAAUUUCAGAUGGGAUGGGGGCUUAGAUGUGGACCCAACACAACGCACCCUGCAAGAAACCCGAUCUCUUCUUUCUGCUUCUUGGUUUAUGAGUGAAAUGGGAAGACAUACCUCCCAAGCCUGAGCAUAAACAUCCUUCCAGGUUAGUGAUGGGAUUUGAAGAGCGAGCAUCAGGAAGAUCCCCUCGCUCCUAGAAUGCCACCACCUACUUCUUCCCUCUCUCCAAAGUUCUCCUCAACGUGCAAACAGUCCUCUUUCAGUUUGUAGAAUGAUGGUAGGAUCUGAUGGAAAAGGGAACAAAAGCCAAGGUGCCGGAAAAACAGAAUUCAGUUCUUCACCCCAAGGCAGCCUGUUCUGGGAGACUGGGGAAACACACUUGCCCCUGAUCCCCACCAGUGUGUGUGUGUGUGUGUGUGUGUGUGUGUGUGUGUGUGUGUGUGUAUGUGUAUGGGGUGCAAUAUGGAACAUCUGGCAAUUCAAAGUGUGGGCCUCUCAGACUAGCAUCAAUUGAUGUUACCUGGAAACUUGUUAGAAAUGAGACUUUCAGGCUUCACCUCAGACCCACUGAAUCAGAAACUGCAUCUCAUCCCUGGUGAUUCAUAGGCACAUUCAAUGUGGAGAAGCACUGGUCUGAGACCCUCUGACCCUCUGCUUGGGUCUGACCCUGGCCCUUCUCUGGGUCUGGGGAAGACAGAACAGUUCAUGGCACAGAGACCUACAUCAGCGCUGUCUGUACAGCUCUUGGCCUCUCCCUGUGGAGUAUCCCGCUUCCCACAGUGGUUGCUGAGCCAGGCUGACUGUGCCCACCGCUGCUGGAUGGGGUUGAUGGCCACCCCUCCGGUCUCUCUGGAAGUCUUCCCUAGCGUCCCUCGGCCCAGCUC